GGCCGGGUGGUCUAGUGGUAAGGUAAGGACGUUAGCCGCGUAAGCUGAAGACGCGGGUUCGAUUCCCACCUUGGCCA